UGGGGAAUAUUGGACAAUGGGCGAAAGCCUGAUCCAGCCAUGCCGCGUGCGGGAAGAAGGCCUUCGGGUUGUAAACCGCUUUUGUCAGGGAAGAAACGCUCUGGGCUAAUACCCUGGGGUAAUGACGGUACCUGAAGAAUAAGCACCGGCUAACUACGUGCCAGCAGCCGCGGUAAUACGUAGGGUGCAAGCGUUAAUCGGAAUUACUGGGCGUAAAGCGUGCGCAGGCGGUUAUGCAAGACAGAUGUGAAAUCCCCGGGCUCAACCUGGGAACUGCAUUUGUGACUGUAUAGCUAGAGUACGGUAGAGGGGGAUGGAAUUCCGCGUGUAGCAGUGAAAUGCGUAGAUAUGCGGAGGAACACCGAUGGCGAAGGCAAUCCCCUGGACCUGUACUGACGCUCAUGCACGAAAGCGUGGGGAGCAAACAGGAUUAGAUACCCAAGUAGUCCCUGAGCGGGCUGGCAAGGCGCAU
rnacentral:rRNA from 1 species